UGCGGUGUCGCCCAAGCCGGGUGGGGCGGCGGACAGUCAAUCCAUCAGGCGCUGGUUCGAGUCCAGUCAGCGCAA
rnacentral:tRNA from 1 species